rnacentral:misc_RNA from 1 species
UGAAAUUAGUUUACUAAGUUGUAUACUAAUAUUGCGUGGCUAAAAUUAGUUUGCUAUAUUAAGCACUGUUCAAAUUUCAAACCAAAAGGUGAUUGUUCUUGAAAUUUUCUACGUGUUCACCAAUGCAUUUAUCUUUCCACAUUUGAUAUCAUACUCUCAGUAAUGUGUCAGACAUGUAGAAUUUUUUUUUGUGUAUAUAGGUAUAGGUAGACUUGUUUGAAAUGCAAAAUAAAAUAAAAUAAAAAGGGGGAAAGAAAAGGGAAAAACUGGUUCAGUUGAAAGUACAGUGACACUGAAAAGCGCGGGACUCAAGAGGACUUAAAUCCUCUGCCACACGAAACCUCACAUUUUCUCUCUCUCUCCUCUGUUUUUGAUUUCCGACACAUCCCAAACCAUACCCAAUACCUCUAUCCGGCGAAACAAACCCUAACUCACCCAAAAAUCUCGAGUUUCCUUUCCUCUUCCUCCCUUACCUCACCGAACCACUAUUACCCGAUUUCUUUUUGGUUUCCAUGGCUCGCACCAAACGAAAAUCCCCUGCCAUUGCAGCUGCUUCAUCUUCCUCGUCCGCAUCCGACAAUGCUCCUGUCGCGGCAUUACGGAAGAAAAUGAAACGUAAGCAAAAUAUGCCGAAAUCUAAAUCGGCUAGUGAGUCUUCUCACUCGUCCAAAGGUGUCGAAACACCUAAAUCCACACCAGAAAAGAAAAAGGCGGUACAGAAGCAAGGGACGGAUGCUCAAAAGAAAAUGGGUAUCGCAAAGCUUUCGGGUUCAGUGGAUAAAGCACUGUUGGAUUGCAAAUUCAUCAAAUGGGAGAACUUUAAUCAGGUAAACUUUCACUUUAAAGAGCUUUUUGAAUUUCAAGGUUGGUUGGGUGUCUGUGAAUGCGCAAAUGAA